rnacentral:rRNA from 1 species
AGUGAACGCUGGCGGCAGGCCUAACACAUGCAAGUCGAACGGCAGCAUAGUAAGAUCUUGCCCCUACGGUUGGCGAGUGGCGGACGGGUGAGGAAUACAUCGGAAUCUACUUUUUCGUGGGGGACAACGUAGGGCAACUUAUGCUAAUACCGCAUAUGAUCUACGGGUGAAAGCAGUGGAUCUUCGGACUUUGCGCGAUUGAAUGAGCCGAUGUCGGAUUAGCUAGUUGGCGAGGUAAAGGCCCACCAAGGCAACGAUGCGUAGCUGACCUGAGAGGAUGAUCGGCCACACUGGAACUGAGACACGGUCCAGACUCCUACGGGAGGCAGCAGUAGGGAAUAUUGGGCAAUGGGCGCAAGCCUGAUCCAGCCAUGCCGCGUGAGUGAUGAAGGCCUUCGGAUUGUAAAGCCCUUUUAUUAGGGAAGAAAAACUGCAGGUUUAUACCCCGCUGUUCUGACGGUACCCAAAGAGUAAGCACCGGCUAACUUCGUG